AUGAACGAGUACAGCGAUGACAAGCAAGACGGCUUGGUGCUCUGCAAGGUCUGCGUGUCUCGUCACAGGAGCGAGACCACAUACGACGAGGUAAUCAAUGCUCCCGGUUCCAGGAAAAGGAAGGCCGCCGACGUCCAGCACCCGGAUGCUCCACGUCCCCAAACCCCACGCCGCCAGGAACCACCGAUCAUCCAACAACCCGGGAUGCUUCACGAGUAUGGGCGCUGGUUCAUGUCCGACGAAGGCGAGACGUUGUUGCCGCCCGGAACCGGAGUAGUGGACGACGGCAGCGUGGAUCCAGGCGGGUUCUUCACCGCCGACAUGCUUCAAGAUUUUCCCGAGCUCCAUGACGCUGUGGUGGCGCAGGGGUUCUUGCCUGGCAAACUCGACGGCGAAGUCCAAGAAGGCACUGGCGCUGCAGAGGAUGAAGACGACGCCUUCCGGUGCACGUUAGAUGAGCUGCUCGACUUCUGCGACGACACGACUGUACUAGUCUAG
rnacentral:rRNA from 1 species